rnacentral:lncRNA from 1 species
AGGGGCCUUUUCUUUGCCAUUUUUUUUUUCUAUUGUAUUCCUCUAAGUUAGUCUCCUGUGACCUCUCGUCCUUUGUCCUGUCCGUUUUCUUCAGGAUCAUCAAGGUCUUCAUUUGAAGGUAUUUGAAAUGUCUUUCGGUACUUCCGCAUCCGGCGAUUCUGGGAGUUCUUCCGCCUCAAUCCCCCAGGUCCCCCAUUCUGUAGAUGAACCCGUACCUGGGGUGGGGCCUC